UACGAAGGGUGCAAGCGUUACUCGGAAUUACUGGGCGUAAAGCGUGCGCAGGCGGUUUUGUAAGUUUGUCGUGAAAGCCCCGGGCUCAACCUGGGAAUUGCGAUGAAGACUGCAAGGCUUGAAUCUGGCAGAGGGGGGUAGAAUUCCACGUGUAGCAGUGAAAUGCGUAGAGAUGUGGAGGAACACCGAUGGCGAAGGCAGCCCCCUGGGUCAAGAUUGACGCUCAUGCACGAAAGCGUGGGGAGCAAACAGGG
rnacentral:rRNA from 1 species